UUGAGGAAGGCCCACGGAUCCGGGCGGAAGAGCUCCUUGAUCUACGGGUACUUGGCCAGGAUCUCCCGGUGGCGCGACGCGUGCAGCACGUCCGUGUACGACCAGAAGAAGUCCGUCGCCAUCACCCCUUCCUCCGCCUCCAUCCCAGCGACCAUUGCUCCCUCCCACACCCUGGGGCUACGCGAACGGGCGGUGGUUAGCGGACGCAGCCUGAUGGCACGGGUGGCGCUGGAGCCCGAAUCCUUUUCACGCCGGGCCCUCGCCUGCUUCCUGUUCGGGGAGUCCAUGGGCGGGGCUCAUCCACCUCCGCACACGGCCGGAGGAGUGGGCGGGGGCGGUCCUCGUCGCUCCCAUGUCCAGGAUCUCCGACCGGAUCCUCCCGCCGUGGCCGCGACCGGAUCCGCUGCGUCUGGGGGCUUCUAG
rnacentral:misc_RNA from 1 species